AUUGAACGCUGGCGGCAGGCCUAACACAUGCAAGUCGAGCGGAGCGGCGGAAGGGUGAGUAAUGCAUGGGAAUCUGCCUGGUAGUGGGGGAUAACGUCCGGAGACGGGCGCUAGUACCGCAUACUAUCAGCUGAGCCUCGGUCGGAUGAGCUAGUUGGUGGGGGAAAGGCCUAACAAGGCGACGAUCCCUAGCUGGGCUGAGAGGACGACCAGCCAACAUGGACCUGAGACACGGUCCAGACUCGUACGGGAGGCAGCGGGGGGGAAUAUUGCACAAUGGGCGCAAGCCUGAUGCAGCCAUGCCGCGUGUAUGAAGAAGGCCUGCGGGUUGUAAAGUACUGUCAGCGGGUAGGCGGUACCCGCAGAAGAAGCACCGGCUAACUCCGUGCCAGCAGCCGCGGUAAUUC
rnacentral:rRNA from 1 species